AGGGCGCACGGUGGAUGCCUUGGCACUAGAAGCCGAUGAAGGACGUUACUAACGACGAUAUGCUUUGGGGAGCUGUAAGUAAGCUUUGAUCCAGAGAUUUCCGAAUGGGGAAACCCAGCAUGAGUUAUGUCAUGUUAUCGAUAUGUGAAUACAUAGCAUAUCAGAAGGCACACCCGGAGAACUGAAACAUCUUAGUACCCGGAGGAAGAGAAAGAAAAUUCGAUUCCCUUAGUAGCGGCGAGCGAAACGGGAAGAGCCCAAACCAACAAGCUUGCUUGUUGGGGUUGUAGGACACUCUAUACGGAGUUACAAAGGACGACAUUAGACGAAUCAUCUGGAAAGAUGAAUCAAAGAAGGUAAUAAUCCUGUAGUCGAAAAUGUUGUCUCUCUUGAGUGGAUCCUGAGUACGACGGAGCACGUGAAAUUCCGUUGGAAUCUGGGAGGACCAUCUCCUAAGGCUAAAUACUCUCUAGUGACCGAUAGUGAACCAGUACCGUGAGGGAAAGGUGAAAAGCACCCCGGAAGGGGAGUGAAAUAGAACCUGAAACCGUGUGCUUACAAGUAGUCAGAGCCCGUUAAUGGGUGAUGGCGUGCCUUUUGUAGAAUGAACCGGCGAGUUACGAUUUGAUGCAAGGUUAAGCAGUAAAUGUGGAGCCGUAGCGAAAGCGAGUCUGAAUAGGGCGUUUAGUAUUUGGUCGUAGACCCGAAACCAGGUGAUCUACCCUUGGUCAGGUUGAAGUUCAGGUAACACUGAAUGGAGGACCGAACCGACUUACGUUGAAAAGUGAGCGGAUGAACUGAGGGUAGCGGAGAAAUUCCAAUCGAACCUGGAGAUAGCUGGUUCUCUCCGAAAUAGCUUUAGGGCUAGCCUCAAGUGAUGAUUAUUGGAGGUAGAGCACUGUUUGGACGAGGGGCCCCUCUCGGGUUACCGAAUUCAGACAAACUCCGAAUGCCAAUUAAUUUAACUUGGGAGUCAGAACAUGGGUGAUAAGGUCCGUGUUCGAAAGGGAAACAGCCCAGACCACCAGCUAAGGUCCCAAAAUAUAUGUUAAGUGGAAAAGGAUGUGGCGUUGCCCAGACAACUAGGAUGUUGGCUUAGAAGCAGCCAUCAUUUAAAGAGUGCGUAAUAGCUCACUAGUCGAGUGACACUGCGCCGAAAAUGUACCGGGGCUAAACAUAUUACCGAAGCUGUGGAUUGUCCUUUGGACAAUGGUAGGAGAGCGUUCUAAGGGCGUUGAAGCAUGAUCGUAAGGACAUGUGGAGCGCUUAGAAGUGAGAAUGCCGGUGUGAGUAGCGAAAGACGGGUGAGAAUCCCGUCCACCGAUUGACUAAGGUUUCCAGAGGAAGGCUCGUCCGCUCUGGGUUAGUCGGGUCCUAAGCUGAGGCCGACAGGCGUAGGCGAUGGAUAACAGGUUGAUAUUCCUGUACCACCUAUAAUCGUUUUAAUCGAUGGGGGACGCAGUAGGAUAGGCGAAGCGUGCGAUUGGAUUGCACGUCUAAGCAGUAAGGCUGAGUAUUAGGCAAAUCCGGUACUCAUUAAGGCUGAGCUGUGAUGGGGAGAAGACAUUGUGUCUUCGAGUCGUUGAUUUCACACUGCCGAGAAAAGCCUCUAGAUAGAAAAUAGGUGCCCGUACCGCAAACCGACACAGGUAGUCAAGAUGAGAAUUCUAAGGUGAGCGAGCGAACUCUCGUUAAGGAACUCGGCAAAAUGACCCCGUAACUUCGGGAGAAGGGGUGCUCUUUAGGGUUAACGCCCAGAAGAGCCGCAGUGAAUAGGCCCAAGCGACUGUUUAUCAAAAACACAGGUCUCUGCUAAACCGUAAGGUGAUGUAUAGGGGCUGACGCCUGCCCGGUGCUGGAAGGUUAAGAGGAGUGGUUAGCUUCUGCGAAGCUACGAAUCGAAGCCCCAGUAAACGGCGGCCGUAACUAUAACGGUCCUAAGGUAGCGAAAUUCCUUGUCGGGUAAGUUCCGACCCGCACGAAAGGCGUAACGAUUUGGGCACUGUCUCAACGAGAGACUCGGUGAAAUCAUAGUACCUGUGAAGAUGCAGGUUACCCGCGACAGGACGGAAAGACCCCGUGGAGCUUUACUGUAGCCUGAUAUUGAAAUUCGGCACAGCUUGUACAGGAUAGGUAGGAGCCUUUGAAACGUGAGCGCUAGCUUACGUGGAGGCGCUGGUGGGAUACUACCCUAGCUGUGUUGGCUUUCUAACCCGCACCACUUAUCGUGGUGGGAGACAGUGUCAGGCGGGCAGUUUGACUGGGGCGGUCGCCUCCUAAAAGGUAACGGAGGCGCUCAAAGGUUCCCUCAGAAUGGUUGGAAAUCAUUCAUAGAGUGUAAAGGCAUAAGGGAGCUUGACUGCGAGACCUACAAGUCGAGCAGGGUCGAAAGACGGACUUAGUGAUCCGGUGGUUCCGCAUGGAAGGGCCAUCGCUCAACGGAUAAAAGCUACCCCGGGGAUAACAGGCUUAUCUCCCCCAAGAGUUCACAUCGACGGGGAGGUUUGGCACCUCGAUGUCGGCUCAUCGCAUCCUGGGGCUGUAGUCGGUCCCAAGGGUUGGGCUGUUCGCCCAUUAAAGCGGUACGCGAGCUGGGUUCAGAACGUCGUGAGACAGUUCGGUCCCUAUCCGUCGUGGGCGUAGGAAAUUUGAGAGGAGCUGUCCUUAGUACGAGAGGACCGGGAUGGACAUACCUCUGGUGUACCAGUUGUCGUGCCAACGGCAUAGCUGGGUAGCUAUGUGUGGACGGGAUAAGUGCUGAAAGCAUCUAAGCAUGAAGCCCCCCUCAAGAUGAGAUUUCCCAACUUCGGUUAU
rnacentral:rRNA from 1 species